UACGGGGGGAGCAAGCGUUGUUCGGAUUUACUGGGCGUAAAGGGCGCGUAGGCGGUCAGCACAAGUCAGUUGUGAAAUCUCCGGGCUUAACUCGGAAAGGUCAACUGAUACUGUGCGACUAGAGUGCAGAAGGGCAACUGGGAAUUCUCGGUGUAGCGGUGAAAUGCGUAGAUAUCGAGAGGAACACCUGCGGCGAAGGCGGGUUGCUGGGCUGACACUGACGCUGAUGCGCGAAAGCCAGGGGAGCGAACGGG
rnacentral:rRNA from 1 species